rnacentral:sRNA from 1 species
UAUGUAUCUGUGUCGGUGAAAUAAAAUGAAUAUGGGUAUCUAUUCCUCCGGCAGUAAGAAUAAGUCCUUCUCCUGCAAGAGCCUCUGUUGAACUGCCAAUUAUCAUAUUUUUAUCCACGCCGUCCAUUACAUGCGGAUUCCCAGCCUUACCAAUUCCGGCAAUUUUACCAUUCUUUAUUCCUAUAUCGGCUUUAUAAAUCCCUGUACUGUCAAUAACAAUUGCACUUGUUAUUACCAAAUCAAGACAUUCAUCAUCUGUAUGGCUUGCUGACUGUCCCAUGCCAUCACG